rnacentral:tRNA from 1 species
GCCGAUGUGCCCGAAUUGGUUAAGGGGCUGGUUUUAGGAAUCAGUGCUAAGUGUAUUGCAGGUUCAAGUCCUGCCAUCGGCA